rnacentral:lncRNA from 1 species
GCGGGCGAUAAUCUUCUUCCUAGUGCCUUGAACGUUUAGCUGGAGCCUAGACGAUUUUAGGCGGUCUAGGAGAAUUUUUAACAAACAAUAUAUAUUAUAUAUAAAAAAUAAAAUAAAACUUGCUUUUGUCGUGAAAAUUGAAAUUUGUUUUUUAAAAAAACUCAACUUAAUAUAGUGUGCAAACAUAAACUAUAAAAUAAGAAAAGAUGUUUGUCCCAUAAAUUCUAGCACUGAUCUAUGUACAUGAAUUUCACAAGAUAUCACAAGUUAAAUUUAUCGAUACAACGCUGACGUUAUAGUUUUGUUUUCCAUUUUUUUAAAAUAAUAUAUAUCAACUUUUAAUUUUAAAAAUAAAUAUUUCCAAAUAUAAGAAGAUAAAUCCAAGGAAAUAAAGUUGAAAAUAGUAUCUAAUUUUAAACUAGCUAAAAUAAAACAGAAAAACCAUUGUUCAAGAAAUCAUUACGCCGCGGUUAGGCAUUUUAUAGAGAAAUAUUUUUUAAGCCUUUCGA